GAUCGAACCAGGGGUACGGGAGUUAUGGAGGUUUAAAGUUGGACCGACCGCACAGGCAACAGUAGCCGAAAAUAGUUCCAUAACUUUUGGCCUUGUGGUUGGUGUCCGUUUGCGGAAUAAAAAUCACAAAAUGUCUGUCAUCUGUGGCUAUACUGGGGUUCGUAUGAAUCCCCCUGUUUGCAUUAUUCUUUCUACCGAACGGCGGCUCGUUCAGUAGUUUAGGUACAAAUUUAUGGAAGGCUGGAGGUCUUAGCGGUGUUUGCCUAGUCGAGUGUCCGAUUUUAGUUCCAGACACUCGACGGCAAAACACCGCUGUUCGGGAGUUUAAGAUGGCCGCUGCCACGUGUUCGUCUCCCGAACGGCAGCCACCCAGAGGACACAGCACACACUGCACUGAUUGCCAAUUACGGGUUUGCAACAUUGUUGCGAACGGUAAUUGGUGGCACACUUAUUCCUGGGGUGGUCUGAUUGUUCGGUAGUUUCACUCGUAUAAUAAACGGAGCGAUUUUACCGAACAAUCAGACGAAUGCUGCAUACAAUACAUAUACAUACGGCAAAAAUUAAACAAAAGCAUAUUACAACACAUAAUUUUGUGGACAGCCCAAUGCCAUCCGCUACACUGCCCCCCCUUGCCCUCAAGCCGGUAUACAAAGUCUGAACCAGUACGGAUCGGCUUGGGGAUGUCCGGGCUGCUCACGAAUCAUUUUUCCAAGUCUGUUUGUCUAGACAACCCGUCAGCGUUUCCAUUUUGUUUGCCCGGGAGGUACUGAAUGUUAAAGUCAAAGGGCUGCAGCGCCAAACUCCAGUGCAGCAGCUGGGCAUUGUCUCCAGCCACCCGGUUCAGCCAUACUAACAGGUUGUGAUCCGUGAGCAAUGAAAAGGGCUGUCCAUACAAAUACGGUUGCAACUUCUUUAGGGCCCACACCACAGCCAGGCAUUCCUUCUCGAUGGCGGCGUAGCUCACUUCUCUGGGUGCCACGGGAUGUUCUCCGCCAUCGGCCCCGACUUGGCUCAGUACUGCCCCCAAUCCAAACAUAGAAGCGUCUGUGUGAACAAGAAAAUGUUUAGUUGGAUUGGGAGCUGCCAAGACAAGGGGCAUUUAUAAGUGCAUUUUUCAGAUGUUGGAAUGCCUGCUCACACUCCGGGGUCCAGGUUACUUGGCGGGGAAGGUUCUUAUGGGUAAGGUCGGUAAGGGGUUUGGUCAGGGUGCUAUAAUUGGGAACAAACUUACUAUAAUACCCUGCCGUCCCGCGAAACGCUAAUAUGGAGUCUUAGUCCUAGGAGUGGGCCACUGGGCUCUCUACUUUGGCUGGUUCUGGUUUCUGUUUCCCACAGCCCACUCGAUGUCCCAGGUAUUGUACCUCGGCCAUCCCUUUACUACACUUGGUCAGUUUCAACGUCAAACCAGCCUCCCUAAUCCUGUCUAGAAACGCUCCUAUUUGGGCCAGGUAUUGCUGAAGAUGGCAAUAUCAUCUAGAUAUGCGCAGGUGUAGUCCUGGAACCCAUCUAGGAGUCGGUCCACCAUCCGCUGGAAGGUAGCCGGAGCAUUUUUCAUCUCAAACGGCAUGGUUAGCGCUUCUAGGCGGUCUCAGAAUGCCAACACUUAUGGUAUGAUGGGGUACGGACUGCGCUCCGGUCUCCCUCCCAAUGUUCUCUAAUAAGGUGUAGGGGGUCCUCUUACUCUCCUCCCAAAUAACAGUUCAAAUGGGGAAAACCCGGUCGACUCCUGCGGCACCUCCCGGUAAGCGAAGAGGAGGUGGGGCAGGAAUCGCUCCCAGUCCCCUGUGGGUCUCGGCGAAGGUUCGGAGUAUUUGUUUCAAUGUACCAUUGAACCGUUCGCAGAGCCUAUUGGUCUGGGGAUGGUAGGGGGCACUGAUGAUAGGCUUAAUGUCACAGAAUUUCCAGAGGUGCUGGGUGACCUCCGCGGUAAAUUGAGUACCCUGAUCCAAGAUGAUCUCCUUGGGUAACCCCAUCCAGGAGAAAAUCUGCAUGAGAGCCUUGGCCACCAUUUCAGCGUGGAUAUUGGUCAGUGCCACCGCCUCUGGAUAUCUAGUGGCAUAGUCUAUGACAGUUAAAAUGUAUUUCUUGACAGAAGGGCUAGGUUUCCGAAGGGUGCCUAUUAAAUCUACCACUAUUCUACUAAAUGGCUCUUCAAUUAUGGGUAGUGGAUGCAGUUUUGCCUUCUGCCGGUCCCCCCUUUUCCCUACCAAUACUUGCGGACUUCCUGGCUGAUUCCUGGCCAAAAGAAACUUUGGGUCAGUGGGUACCUGGUGCGACUGACCCCUAAAUGUCCGGAUAGGCGGAUAUCGUGCGCUAUCCAGAGCAACUCUGCUCGGUACCGCUGCGGUACCACUAGCUGCCUCAUAACAAUCGGGUCUGACCCAGCUAUCUGUUUGUCUGACUCCCUGUAUAAGAGCUGCUUAUCGCUCGCCCUCCCCCCCGGGUUGGUCACAUGCGACCAUGUCCCUAUAUAUUUGUAAGGUAGGGUCAGUGCUGCAAAUUCGUUAGGGGGGGCCCAGGGGACACAGUCUAAGGAAGGGGAAGGAUCUCUUACCUGAACCUCCGGUAGUGUGUUGUGGUCCUGGGUGCGGGCCUGUUGUCUGGUGACCACAGGAUGAGCUUCUCCAGUGGUUGGGGCCUGGGGCUCAAAAGCAGAAGUGAGCUUUCCCAGAUCAUUCCCCAGCAAAUCCUCCGCUGGCAAUUGCGGCAUCAACCCCACUUUCACAUUUCCUGACCCCGCUCCCCAAUGUAAAUGAACCCUUGCUGUAGGUAGCCGGUAUACUGCUCCCCCGGCUACAGUCCUGCUGGUCUUGGCUUUGUCCAUUACUAGGUGGCUUUUGACCAGGGUUAUGGUGGCUCCUGAGUCGCGGAGCCCUUGUACAGCUUUGCCCUCCAGGUAGACGGUUUGUCUGUGAUGUGGUUAUCUGCAUUUGCCUGUAAGGGGUCUGCUUCGUGUAGCACUUACCACUGCUCCACGGUGGUGAGUGGAACUACAGAGCCAUAGGAGGCUGUGGUCUCGUCUUGGUAAUAGUGGGCUGCUGCUCUCGGUGGUGGUCGGAUCCAGGUGGAUCGGUCUCGGAGUUGGGGACAGUCUCGCUUGUUGUGACAUUACACAGAGCUGGGCUGGCGGUACCUCUGUUGAGAAGUGGCUGGUGGUGGGGGUGGUAGCUUUCGCG